CCAUGUACUUGCUUCAAUGGCAAUAGUAAAAUUGGAAUGUUUAAGAGAAGAUUAGCACAAUCUCUACUCAAGGAUGACAUAAAAAUUCAUGAAGUGUUCCAUAUUUUU